rnacentral:lncRNA from 1 species
UCGAUAAUCUGAUUCUUUUAAGAGCCACUAUAUUACUUGCGCAACCGUGUAGACUUGCGUGUGCAAUCGGGAGCAACAAGUUUUUGGCAAGCUUCCUUGUGUGUCUGGUGAAUCAGCUUCAACAACUUCCAUGUGUCCGAGAAACCUAUGUAUUGAUUUAAAAUUUUUGUCGGUAUGUUUAGUGUAUACAGAUUUUUUUGGUGUUAAUCCACCAAUAUUUGAUUGCUGAUCUAGUAAACCUCACUCAGCAACAUUAGGCACACGAAGAGAACUCCAAAUUAAAGUAAAAGAGAACUCACAGAUGACAAAUACAAAACUAUGAGGAAGUGUUUAUCUUCAGAUAGACCAAUUGCCAAAAAGAAAAAGCUCGAGCAGAAGGC